rnacentral:rRNA from 1 species
GAUGAACGCUAGCUACAGGCUUAACACAUGCAAGUCGAGGGGCAGCGGGAUUGAAGCUUGCUUCAAUUGCCGGCGACCGGCGCACGGGUGAGUAACGCGUAUCCAACCUUCCGUACACUCAGGGAUAGCCUUUCGAAAGAAAGAUUAAUACCUGAUGGUAUGAUGAGAUUGCAUGAUAGCAUCAUUAAAGAUUUAUCGGUGUACGAUGGGGAUGCGUUCCAUUAGGUAGUAGGCGGGGUAACGGCCCACCUAGCCGACGAUGGAUAGGGGUUCUGAGAGGAAGGUCCCCCCANAUUGGAACUGAGACACGGUCCAAACUCCUACGGGAGGCAGCAGUGAGGAAUAUUGGUCAAUGGACGAGAGUCUGAACCAGCCAAGUAGCGUGAAGGAUGAAGGUCCUACGGAUUGUAAACUUCUUUUAUACGGGAAUAAAGUAUCCUACGUGUAGGAUUUUGUAUGUACCGUAUGAAUAAGCAUCGGCUAACUCCGUGCCAGCAGCCG